rnacentral:rRNA from 13 species
CUGACGGUAUCUAAGGAAUCAGCAUCGGCUAACUCCGUGCCAGCAGCCGCGGUAAUACGGAGGGUGCAAGCGUUAUCCGGAUUCACUGGGUUUAAAGGGUACGUAGGCGGGCUUAUAAGUCAGUGGUGAAAUCCUUCCGCUCAACGGAAGAACUGCCAUUGAAACUGUAAGUCUUGAGUAUGAUUGAGGUAAGCGGAAUGUAGCAUGUAGCGGUGAAAUGCAUAGAUAUGCUACAGAACACCAAUAGCGAAGGCAGCUUACCAAGUCAUUACUGACGCUGAGGUACGAAAGCGUGGGUAGCGAACAGGAUUAGAUACCCUGGUAGUCCA